rnacentral:rRNA from 1 species
GAUCAAGUGUCUUAAG